CACGUAGGGGGCGAGCGUUGUCCGGAUUUAUUGGGCGUAAAGAGCUCGUAGGCGGCUCAGUAAGUCAGGUGUGAAAACUCCAGGCUCAACCUGGAGACGCCACCUGAUACUGCUGUGGCUAGAGUCCGGUAGGGGAGCAUGGAAUUCCUGGUGUAGCGGCGAAAUGCGCAGAUAUCAGGAGGAACACCAGUGGCGAAGGCGGUGCUCUGGGCCGGAACUGACGCUGAGGAGCGAAAGCGUGGGGAGCAAACAGG
rnacentral:rRNA from 1 species